UACAGAGGGUGCGAGCGUUGUUCGGAAUCAUUGGGCGGAAAGCGCUUGUAGGCGGCUUGUUAAGUCGCGUGUGAAAUCCCUUGGCUCAACCAAGGAAGUGCGCGCGAAACUGGCGAGCUCGAGUGCCGGAGAGGGUCGCGGAAUUCCCGGUGUAGAGGUGAAAUUCGUAGAUAUUAGGAAGAACACCAGUGGCGAAGGCGGCUCACUGGCCCGGUACUGACGCUGAGGCACGAAAGCGUGGGGAGCAAACAGG
rnacentral:rRNA from 1 species